rnacentral:rRNA from 3 species
GGCCUUUGGGUUGUAAACCCCUUUUGUUAGGGAAGAAAAAAAUGACGGUACCUAACGAAUCAGCCUCGGCUAACUCCGUGCCAGCAGCCGCGGUAAUACGGAGGAGGCAAGCGUUAUCCGGAAUUAUUGGGCGUAAAGCGUCCGUAGGUGGCCCGGCAAGUCUGCUGUCAAAGACCACAGCUCAACUGUGGAAAGGCAGUGGAAACUGCAAGGCUAGAGUGCGGUAGGGGUAGAGGGAAUUCCCAGUGUAGCGGUGAAAUGCGUAGAGAUUGGGAAGAACACCGGUGGCGAAAGCGCUCUACUGGGCCGCAACUGACACUGAUGGACGAAAGCUAGGGGAGCGAAUGGG